ensembl:lncRNA
GCUCCUCAUUUUGGAUCUGUAAUUACCCAUUUUGUCUUUCAAACUGUUUAUCCACCCACCCAGAAGGCGAACCUGGUUCUUGAAGGUUUCUUGAAGGGUGGAAGACAUCCAUUUUUUCCACAUGAUUUGGACAAUAUGUCAUUCUCUUCCACAGUCUCAACACCUCUUUCACAACUGACUCAUCUACAUGUCCAAAGUGUUUCUUAAGAACUGCCUUCACAUUAUUUUGCAAAAGUGGCUGGGACAACUGAACUAUUUGGUUUGCUGUAUUGUGCAACAUGUAGCAAGUGCUGUGGUCACAGUAUUGAUUAAUAGCCUGCACGUGGGAUCUUCCUUUGCACCAACAGUCGUUGUCCUGACAACGAGUCUCAGCUGAUUACUGAUAAUGGUAAAUCAGUGUCUUUUCCGUAUGGUCUACUGCAGGAUGGAUAUAAAAGUAUAAAAUAGCCUACUUUUUGGUUAGACAAGAUCAUUAAUAUGUGAACUAUCACAAUUAAAGCACAAAGACAUAACAACAUUACACCCCAAGACCGUUCACAAGUGUGAGAGAAGAGAAGAAACAGUUUCUGGAAGAGAAGUUCAUCAGGCGAGUUGGAGCAUUGACUUUGUCGAGUCAUCCAGUUUAGCGGGGAAGCAUGUACAGACUGAACAGCAGGGGACCAAGCACAGAACCUGGCGGGACACCACAGGACGAAGGAACAGAAUCUGACAUGAAAGAUCCUGAGGACACUGAAAAACUCCUGUCAGAAAGAUAGGAGGUAAACCAAUCCAGAGCAGAUCCAGAAAUGUCCACUAGAGAGUUUAUUCUAUCAAUCAGAGUUCUGUGAUCAACAGUAUCAGAUGCGGCACUGAGAUCCAACAAGACCAGCACAGAACAUUCUCCUGCAUCAGCAGCCAUCAAGAUGUCAUUUGAAACCCUAAGGAGGGCAGUUUCAGUUGAACGUUUUUUACGAAAGCCAGACUGGAAUUUAUCACAGAUACUAUGAGCCUCCAACACAUAAUUUAACUGCAUUGCCACAACCCUUUCUAGGAUUUUAGAAAUAAAAGGCAAUUUCGAAAUAGGCCUAUAGUUGUUAAAAGAUGCUGCAUCAAGAUUACUCUUUUUCAAAAGAGGCUGAACAACAGCAUGUUUAAGACACAGAGGGACCUGUCCCAGUCUAAGAGAUAGAUUUAUAAUUGAAACCAAACAUGGGCCAAUAGAU